AUGACAAAAUGCCCGUGCAAACCAAAAUUCACAAAUUUUUAUAGACACAAAGGAAAGAUAUCAAGUAAAGGCUUAAACCCAGACGACUGCCUUCCAACAAGAGAAACAGCAAUCCACCACAUUCAGUUGGUUCUUUUGAUCUCGUCACAUUAUAUCCAACCAUCUUUUGUACCAAUCCACAGAAAUAGCCAAUAUAUGAUUUUACAUACGCAGUUCAAAACAAAGAUAUAA